AACGAACGCUGGCGGCAUGCCUAACACAUGCAAGUCGAACGAUGGUCUUCUGAGCAUAUUGGCGCACGGGUGCGGAACGCGUGGGAAUCGGCCCUUGGGUUCGGAAUAACAGUUGGAAACGACUGCUAAUACCGGAUGAUGUCGAUAAGACCAAAGAUUUAUCGCCCGAGGAUGAGCCCGCGUCGGAUUAGCUAGUUGGUGGGGUAAAGGCCUACCAAGGCGACGAUCCGUAGCUGGUCUGAGAGGAUGAUCAGCCACACUGGGACUGAGACACGGCCCAGACUACUACGGGAGGCAGCAGUGGGGAAUCUAGGAAAAUGGGGGCAAGCAUGAUCCAGCACUGCCGCGUGAGUGAUGAAGGCCUUAGGGUUGUAAAGCUCUUUUACCCGGGAAGAUACUGACUGUACCGGGAGAAUAAGCCCCGGCUAACUCCGUG
rnacentral:rRNA from 1 species